GGUAGACUGGAUAAGAACCAGUGUGAGGUAUGGUGGACUGAAUGAGAACCACUGUGAGGAGCUUGAGGCUGGAGGAAAAACACGCGGUGACAGAUGGAACCAACUACAGGAGAAAGUCUUGCAACUGUGUUCCUGUGGGAAUACAGAAGCCUUUGGAGAACAGAAAAGGGUAUCUGCCCUCCAGUUGGUCGUGAAAGCUGAACUCAGGUCCUCUGCAAGAUCAUCCAGCACUCUUAACUCUUGAGCCACCUCUCCAGUCUCAACAAGAGCCUAGCAUAACUGUCCUCUGAGAGGCUCCACCCAGCAGCUGACUGAAACAGAUGGAAAGACCCACAAACAAACAUUAGACGGAGCUUGGAGAGUCUCGUGGACGAAUUGGGGGAAGGAAUGAGGAAUUCCAUAAGAAAACCAACAGAGUCAACAAACCUGGACACUUUGGGGCUCCCAGAAACUGAACCACCAACGAAAGAGCAUGUUUGGGCUGGACAUAGCCUCCCCAACCACUCCAUAUUUGUAAUAGAUGUGCAGCUUGGUCUUUGUAUGGGUCCCCAACCAACUGGAGCAGGGGCUGUCCCUGACUCUGUUGCCUGCCUGUGGA